rnacentral:rRNA from 1 species
AUUGAACGCUGGCGGCAUGCUUUACACAUGCAAGUCGAACGGCAGCGCGGGCUUCGGCCUGGCGGCGAGUGGCGAACGGGUGAGUAAUACAUCGGAACGUGCCCAGUAGUGGGGGAUAGCUCGGCGAAAGCCGGAUUAAUACCGCAUACGACCUGAGGGUGAAAGCGGGGGAUCUUCGGACCUCGCGCUAUUGGAGCGGCCGAUGGCAGAUUAGCUAGUUGGUGGGGUAAAGGCCUACCAAGGCGACGAUCUGUAGCUGGUCUGAGAGGACGACCAGCCACACUGGGACUGAGACACGGCCCAGACUCCUACGGGAGGCAGCAGUGGGGAAUUUUGGACAAUGGGCGAAAGCCUGAUCCAGCAAUGCCGCGUGUGUGAUGAAGGCCUUCGGGUUGUAAAGCACUUUUGGCGGAAACGAAAAGGACUGUGCCAAUACCACGGUUCGAUGACGGUACCCGCAGAAUAAGCACCGGCUAACUACGUG